AGAGUUUGAUCCUGGCUCAGGAUGAACGCUGGCGGCGUGCUUUAUGCAUGCAAGUCGAACGGUCUCGAUUUAUCGGGAUAGUGGCGAACGGGUGAGUAACGCGUAAGUAACCUGCCCUCAAGUAGGGGAUAACUCUGAGAAAUUGGAGCUAAUACCUUAUGUGGUGAUGGAGUUAGUGCGCCAUCACUAAAGCCUUAGGGUGCUUGAGGAGGGGCUUGCGUCCGAUUAGCUAGUUGGUAAGGUAAUGGCUUACCAAGGCGAUGAUCGGUAGCUGGUUUGAGAGGACGACCAGCCACACUGGGAUUGAGAUACGGCCCAGACUCCUACGGGAGGCAGCAGCAAGGAAUAUUGUGCAAUGGGCGAAAGCCUGACACAGCGACGCCGCGUGGGGGAUGAAGGCUUUCGGGUUGUAAACCCCUUUUCUCAGGGAAGAAUAAUGACGGUACCUGAGGAAUAAGUCACGGCUAACUACGUGCCAGCAGCCGCGGUAAUACGUAGGUGGCGAGCGUUAUCCGGAUUCACUGGGUUUAAAGGGUGCGUAGGCGGGCAUAUAAGUCAGUGGUGAAAUCCCCGAGCUUAACUUGGGAACUGCCGUUGAUACUAUGUGUCUUGAAUAUCGCGGAGGUAAGCGGAAUAUGUCAUGUAGCGGUGAAAUGCAUAGAUAUGACAUAGAACACCGAUUGCGAAGGCAGCUUACUACACGAUCAUUGACGCUGAGGCACGAAAGCGUGGGGAGCAAACAGGAUUAGAUACCCUGGUAGUCC
rnacentral:rRNA from 1 species